rnacentral:misc_RNA from 1 species
GAACGUGAAGUUUCUUCAGACCAGGUAGAUAGCUAUAUCUUUAAAUUCUAGUUAGGAAACAAUUCUGAACUUUAGAUUACUUAUCUAUUUCCUUGUUGCAGUGAUUCUUCUAUUCUAUUUAAGGUUAUGUUUUUAGCGAUGUCCUGCAAAAUAUUGCGAUGCUUGACAUGGUACCGGAAUUUUAUGAGGAAUAAAUUUGUUAUGGUUUUGAAUUUUGUGGUGAAAUGACUGACACUUCGCUCAUCAACUGGUUGUCUAAAUUUCACUUCUUUGGUGCUUUCAUGAUCUGCACCUCAUUGCACAGAUAGAAAAUUAACAAGGUGUUCAUCUUUUUGUGUCAGCUGUCACCUAUGAUUUUUUGGGUUACUUCACUUCCAUCAUAUUUCUGCUUUUCUUUCAUAGACAUCAGAAUGUCAAAUAAGGGCAUGUCCUGUGUAUUACAUUCAUAUCACAAAAAUGUCUGUUAUAUGAUGAUAUCUGCAAAGUGUGCUUGGAUGUAGCCAAAGCUUUAACGUUUGUUAUCUAUCUGGAAAACAAAAUGAUGGUAUUUGCCUUUUGCUCUUCUUUUUAUCCCUCAGAUACAAC